rnacentral:lncRNA from 10 species
GUAGAGUUUAUGUGUUCUGUAAUGAUGGAGUGACGAAGGUUAUUUUCAGAUGUCUUGGUGGAAAUGUUUGUGUCCUUUAACACAUAUUUCACAAUGUGUAUUUCAGGUUUCUGUAGUGAGACCCUGAUAAACCUAACAAUGGUUGGUAUGGCAGACAUUUCUGGUAUGCAGGCAAGUGAUGAUGUGUUCUUUAACCACAUCAUAGACCAUCAGAUCUUCUUAUAUCUUUUUUUUU